AUCACCAGUUCUCAUAUGAUCACCAAAGUUAAAUAAUGUCGAGCCUGGUCUGUACCUGGAUGGGUGACCACUUGAGAAUACCAGGUGUUGUAAG